AGAGUUUGAUCCUGGCUCAGAUUGAACGCUGGCGGCAUGCUUUACACAUGCAAGUCGAACGGCAGCACGGGUGCUUGCACCUGGUGGCGAGCGGCGAACGGGUGAGUAAUGCACCGGAACGUACCCAGUAAUGGGGGAUAACACAUCGAAAGAUGUGCUAAUACCGCAUACGCCCUGAGGGGGAAAGCGGGGGAUCGUAAGACCUCGCGUUAUUGGAGCGGCCGAUGCCGGAUUAGCUAGUUGGUGAGGUAAGAGCUCACCAAGGCGACGAUCCGUAGCUGGUCUGAGAGGACGACCAGCCACACUGGGACUGAGACACGGCCCAGACUCCUACGGGAGGCAGCAGUGGGGAAUUUUGGACAAUGGGCGCAAGCCUGAUCCAGCCAUGCCGCGUGAGUGAAGAAGGCCUUCGGGUUGUAAAGCUUCUUUCGCAAGGAAGGAAAACUUAUCUACUAA
rnacentral:rRNA from 1 species